GAUGAACGCUAGCGGCAGGCUUAAUACAUGCAAGUCGAACGGUAACAGGAGAGCUUGCUCUCGCUGACGAGUGGCGCACGGGUGCGUAACGCGUAUGCAACUUGCCCUUAACUGAGGGAUAGCCCAGAGAAAUUUGGAUUAAUACCUCAUAAUAUAUUUGGGACACAUGUUUUAGAUAUUAAAGCUUCGGCGGUUAAGGAUGGGCAUGCGUCCUAUUAGUUAGUUGGUGAGGUAACGGCUCACCAAGACAGCGAUAGGUAGGGGGCCUGAGAGGGUGAUCCCCCACACUGGUACUGAGACACGGACCAGACUCCUACGGGA
rnacentral:rRNA from 1 species